rnacentral:rRNA from 1 species
GCCUGCCUACGGGGCGCAGCAGUAGGGAAUCUUCCACAAUGGACGAAAGUCUGAUGGAGCAACGCCGCGUGAGUGAAGAAGGGUUUCGGCUCGUAAAGCUCUGUUGGUAGUGAAGAAAGAUAGAGGUAGUAACUGGCCUUUAUUUGACGGUAAUUACUUAGAAAGUCACGGCUAACUACGUGCCAGCAGCCGCGGUAAUACGUAGGUUGCAAGCGUUGUCCGGAUUUAUUGGGCGUAAAAC